rnacentral:lncRNA from 1 species
ACGAAAGUAUUUUUUGGAAGUCAUUUACUAUUUUUUAUAAAUUAUGUAGCUAUUAAAAUGGCUAUUUAAAACAUGUCCUAUUUUUAUAUCAAUUCUAGCCCUAAUUCAACCCAAUACCAGCCCAAUCCAAUUAAAAUGUACCCACACCAAACCCUGAAGACCCGAUUCGGCCCCAAUACCCUUUAAUCUCGGCCAUUGAUCAUAAGAUCAACGACCAAAAACACCCCUUACCUAAAAUAAACCAAAUGACACCCCCAAACCCUUUCAUUCAAUACUAUCCGCCACCUGCAACCCCUCUCUUCUCUCAAACGCUCUCAAACCUAACCCUAAUCAAGCCUCACUGUCACUCAUCUAUGGCUAUAUGUGAUGGUUUCCCACCACUCCCAAGCCUCUAGUAGCCUCUCUCACGUUGGUAUUACCAUCCAAGGGUCCUCAAGGGACCACAAUCAGUCGGGUUGCAUCUAUGGUCCCUUUCUCGCCUGUUUCAGGCUAUUCCAAUAUGAUUCCGAGUAAGAUCGUCCUAUAUCGACUAUGAUCUAUGAGGUUUUAAGCGUGUCUUUACCUCUGUGUUGUUCUCUUCGAAACCCUAAUUUUUUUUCUGAACCUCUUACAUGGGUACAAAUGUGAGAUGAUAUAGACUUGUUUCAUAUGGGUUUUACAAUAACCUUGUGAUUUUUUACAAGAAUCGUAUCAUUUUCGAAUGAUUUUUCUUCUUUCUAUAAACAAGGGUUUUCGAAAUUUUCUCUUUUCAAAACUUGGUAAUUUUUGAGUGUUUGAUAUUCUACUUCUUACUGUGUUUUAACUGAUUUCAUAAGUUUGCUACAAUCUAAACUUGUUUAUAAUAAAAAUCCUAAUUUUCUGACAUUUCCUUGUUUGGCUUCUGAGUGCUAGUGUACUGAUUAUGUUCUUGCGUUGGUUCUUGUGAUUUCUCUGUAGCCAUUUGAAUAUCUCGUGGUUUUUUGUCCUAAUAUGCCUUUUUUGAAUUUCUUAGUUGAACCCUUCACUGAUUUUAUAUGUUUGUGUUCAUCCUAACUAUUCAUCUUGAAUCAGUGUCGCCUUAAAUAUUUGUUAUGAUAAAAUUAUGUGUCGAAUCCUAACUGUUCAAUUCUUACCUUAUUUUAUCUGCUAAACUUGCUUGCUCUUUCAUGAUUUUUCUCAUUGAUUGAACCCUGGAUAAUUCUGAAGUCCUUAUUUCUUGGUUUGAUUUGAACACUUUUUCUUAACAAACUUUCGAUUCUUGCCUCUCUACUCAAUUUAAUUGAACUACUUGCGUUAAUUAAUUUUCCCUUGCCUUAUUUUUUAUUUUGCUGAUUCUUACUGAUUGUUUCCUUAAUUGAAACCCUUGUGUAUUCACCCCUAAUUACCUAUUCUGUACAUAAGCUGUACUUGAUUUCCUUCCUUAAGUAACUAUCCGCUUUUACCAUUGAUUGAUUAUCCCUUGAUUAAAGGGAAGACCAACUGAUUUUACAUGUGAUUCAUUCCCUGAAUUUCUCUAACUGCUACUUUGAUCCCUUACCUUAUUUUGCUAAGCUUUUGACUACUAGAUAAACUCUCAAAUAUUCUCACUUAAAAAAGAGCUAACAUUAGUUCACAAAAGCACACUUACACUCUAAAGCUCUCUUUUCUCCUCUGCUACUUGAGAUAUUUACUGAUCUAGCCGGCUGAAAGCCACGGCUAGGCAUUGGAACUACAUAUGUUUUUAUAUUUCUACACUCUUUUCUUCAACUGGUAUGUCUCUAGUUAAGUUUUGAAAUCCAAGCCCUAUGUGUUUCAUUCCUGCACAAGUUUAUCAGCUAUGAACUCAACUUGCAUUCAUGUUUACUUAUUUGCCUAGCAUGUCUAAACUUUAUCCUGUUUAAUGUAUGAUUAACGUAUCUACACUUCACCUAGUUAUUUGAUACUUAACCAGUCUGUUUGUGAAUAUAUGUUCAAUCCCCUAACUAUGUGAUCAUGUUGGCCAUUUGAUGUAUGUGAUCGACCCUGUCUGUAUGUUUAAUCCUGUUCAAGACAUGUCAGGCUUUCUGUACUACAACUGUGAUCUAUGUCUUAACUAUUAUGGUCCAUGACUAACCUGUUAAGUCUGUAAGACCCUAAGUGUUUUAUGUAGUUUGUUGACUAUAUGUUUCCUAUAUACCUUAUCCAUGUACCCCAAUGUGACUCUUCUAUGCCCAACCCCUUUAUCCCCAUGUGAGAUCUGUUUUGUUGGGUGUUUAUGAAUCUAGAUGUUUUAUGACCAAUUGAUGUGUGAUGUUUUCAAAAGAGUUCUGGUACUCUUCUCAAAUUGUCUUUUACCACCAAACUAUUUCCUGUUUCAGAAAACAUUUUCACCCAUAAAUUCAUCUCUGUACUAUUUUGAAAACCUUUUCUAAACUAUGCCAAACACUCUCACUCUAUUAUUAGAAUAAUAGGUUCUGCCCCUCUGAUAUGUGUACGGCCUUGAGAUCUCUCUGAACUUUGGCAUGUUAGAGCCGGCCUUUCCACACUGCACCUAAAUCAGUUAUUAUUUGAGAAAAGGUGUAUGUGUGAGCACUGCCCGGGAUCCUUGAGGUCCUUAGGGAACUCUGACACACCUAGAGAUGGAAUUGGCUAUGAACUUUGGCAUUUGAGGCUAUUGGAGGAUUGGAAGUCAUUUAGUCCUACUGCAGGCUCCCUCUAGAUUAAUUUCUAUUUAGUUAAGUAGUUUUUUCAGUUAAUUCAUUCGUCUGUAAUAAUUAUUAUAAACAAACAUUGAG